rnacentral:rRNA from 1 species
UACGUAGGUGACAAGCGUUGUCCGGAUUUAUUGGGCGUAAAGAGCUCGUAGGCGGUCUGUUGCGUCGGCUGUGAAAACCCGGGGCUCAACUCCGGGCCUGCAGCCGAUACGGGCAGACUAGAGUUCGGCAGGGGAGACUGGAAUUCCUGGUGUAGCGGUGAAAUGCGCAGAUAUCAGGAGGAACACCGGUGGCGAAGGCGGGUCUCUGGGCCGAUACUGACGCUGAGGAGCGAAAGCGUGGGGAGCGAACAGG